GACGAACGCUGGCGGCGUGCUUAACACAUGCAAGUCGAACGGAAAGGCCCUGCUUUUGUGGGGUGCUCGAGUGGCGAACGGGUGAGUAACACGUGAGUAACCUGCCCUUGACUUUGGGAUAACUUCAGGAAACUGGGGCUAAUACCGGAUAGGAGCUCCUGCUGCAUGGUGGGGGUUGGAAAGUUUCGGCGGUUGGGGAUGGACUCGCGGCUUAUCAGCUUGUUGGUGGGGUAGUGGCUUACCAAGGCUUUGACGGGUAGCCGGCCUGAGAGGGUGACCGGCCACAUUGGGACUGAGAUACGGCCCAGUCGCCUACGGGAGGCAGCAGUGGGGAAUAUUGCACAAUGGGCGGAAGCCUGAUGCAGCAACGCCGCGUGCGGGAUGACGUCCUUCGGGUUGUAAACCGCUUUCGCCUGUGACGAAGCGUGAGUGACGGUAAUGGGUAAAGAAGCACCGGCUAACUACGUG
rnacentral:rRNA from 1 species